GGUAGAAAUCUCUCAGAGUCCACACCAAAUCUGGACAGAAGCUCACAAAGUCAGCUGCAUCUUCAAUCCCACCAAGAUCAGACUCAUAAACACAGCUGAGGAAUAGAGGAGUUCUCUCUGGCUUUGGUGCCACCCUGGACCACAAAAGGAUACUGCAAGGGUGGAGGAUUAGAAAUGAAACACAAACCGAAAGUGGAAGAGGUUUUCAAAACUUCACUACAGAAAACUGAAACUACAAACGGCUCUACAGGGAAUUUCCUGAGCGUUGGCUGGAUGUAUUUGGCCUGAUUUCUCUGAAACUGCAUGUUGUUAGUCAAACUGAACUUUAAGAUUGUUUGUAACAUUUUUUUUCUGUUCCAAACUGUCCUCGGGCCUGUGAGAAACCAUACUAAGUCCACAGUUACAGUGAAUACAACUCUCAAGUAUGUCUGAAUUAUGUGAAUAUACCAUUUUUGUUUGUUUGUUUUUAAGCAAGCAGCCAUCCUAUGAAAUUCAAGUCAUCUCUUGUGCUUAGCAUUUAGGGGUUUUGAUAGAAUUUUCUCUGAUAAAACUUGAGUUUGACGCAGAAUAAAAUGUUGUAUAACUUCGACACAAAAAACAAAUAAUUUCCUAAAUAGAUAAACCAAAUGCUGAAAAAUUUUAAAGAACUUAAAAAAUGAUCAGUCAUAAAUGGUCAACGGGUUUUUGUAACUGCAUCUUUUAUUAGUUAGGCAAAUAUUCAAACCAAACACUUUGAAUACUUACCAUAGUGCAGUGUUUAAAAAGAAGCAAGCAAGAAAGAACCAAAAGCACCAUAAUCCCUAUAAGGAGAUUUCAGUCUAAUUAAAUGCAAUCUAC